AUCCAGCUGACGAGUCGCAACUAGGUCGAAACGCACGACCUGGAU
rfam:Schistosoma margrebowiei strain Zambia genome assembly, scaffold: SMRZ_scaffold0000528